GAUGAACGCUGGCGGCGUGCCUAAUACAUGCAAGUCGAGCGAACAGAUGAGGAGCUUGCUCCUCUGACGUUAGCGGCGGACGGGUGAGUAACACGUGGAUAACCUACCUAUAAGACUGGGAUAACUUCGGGAAACCGGAGCUAAUACCGGAUAAUAUAUUGAACCGCAUGGUUCAAUAGUGAAAGACGGUUUUGCUGUCACUUAUAGAUGGAUCCGCGCCGCAUUAGCUAGUUGGUAAGGUAACGGCUUACCAAGGCAACGAUGCGUAGCCGACCUGAGAGGGUGAUCGGCCACACUGGAACUGAGACACGGUCCAGACGCCUACGGUAGGCAGCAGUAGGGAAUCUUCCGCAAUGGGCGAAAGCCUGACGGAGCAACGCCGCGUGAGUGAUGAAGGUCUUCGGAUCGUAAAACUCUGUUAUUAGGGAAGAACAAAUGUGUAAGUAACUAUGCACGUCUUGACGGUACCUAAUCAGAAAGCCACGGCUAACUACGUG
rnacentral:rRNA from 1 species